rnacentral:tRNA from 1 species
CCGGGUGUAGCUCAGUUGAUAGAGCGCGUGGUUUGGGACCAUGAGGCCGCGAGUUUGAGCCUCGCCACUCGGACCA